rnacentral:rRNA from 1 species
GCAGUCGAGCGAGGCCCACUCUUCGGGGUGGUGCCCUAGCGGCGAACGGGUGAGUAACACGUGGGCAACCUGCCCUCAGCUCUGGGAUAACUCCAAGAAAUUGGUGCUAAUACCGGAUGUGACCGCUGACCGCAUGGUCUGGUGGUGGAAAGAUUCAUCGGCUGAGGAUGGGCCCGCGGCCUAUCAGCUUGUUGGUGGGGUAGUGGCCCACCAAGGCGACGACGGGUAGCCGGCCUGAGAGGGUGACCGGCCACACUGGGACUGAGACACGGCCCAGACUCCUACGGGAGGCAGCAGUGGGGAAUAUUGCGCAAUGGGCGGAAGCCUGACGCAGCGACGCCGCGUGAGGGAUGACGGCCUUCGGGUUGUAAACCUCUUUCAGUAGGGACGAAGCGAAAGUGACGGUACCUACAGAAGAAGCACCGGCCAACUACGUGCCAGCAGCCGCGGUAAUACGUAGGGUGCAAGCGUUGUCCGGAAUUAUUGGGCGUAAAGAGCUCGUAGGCGGUCUGUCGCGUCGGCUGUGAAAACCCGAGGCUCAACCUCGGGCCUGCAGUCGAUACGGGCAAACUAGAGUACUGCAGGGGAGACUGGAAUUCCUGGUGUAGCGGUGAAAUGCGCAGAUAUCAGGAGGAACACCGGUGGCGAAGGCGGGUCUCUGGGCAGUAACUGACGCUGAGGAGCGAAAGCGUGGGGGAGCGAACAGGAUUAGAUACCCUGGUAGU